GGCGCGGUGGGCCAAGUGGUAAGGCGUCGGUCUCGUAAACCGAAGAUCGCGGGUUUCGAACCCCGUCCGUGCCU